rnacentral:rRNA from 1 species
UACGAAGGGUGCAAACGUUGCUCGGAAUUAUUGGGCGUAAAGCGCUCGUAGGCGGCUCAGUAAGUCGGGUGUGAAAACUCCAGGCUCAACCUGGAGACGCCACCUGAUACUGCUGUGGCUAGAGUCCGGUAGGGGAGCAUGGAAUUCCUGGUGUAGCGGUGAAAUGCGCAGAUAUCAGGAGGAACACCGGUGGCGAAGGCGGGUCUCUGGGCCGAUACUGACGCUGAGGAGCGAAAGCGUGGGGAGCGAACAGG